rnacentral:rRNA from 1 species
UACGAAGGGGGCUAGCGUUGCUCGGAAUCACUGGGCGUAAAGCGCACGUAGGCGGAUCUUUAAGUCAGGGGUGAAAUCCUGGAGCUCAACUCCAGAACUGCCUUUGAUACUGGCGAUCUCGAGUCCGGGAGAGGUCGAGUGGAACUGCGAGUGGUAGAGGUGAAAUUCGUAGAUAUUCGCAAGAACACCAGUGGCGAAGGCGGACUCACUGGCCCGGUACUGGACGCUGACGGUGCGGAAAGCG